UCCUACGGGAGGCAGCAGUGGGGAAUUUUCCGCAAUGGGCGAAAGCCUGACGGAGCAAUACCGCGUGAGGGAGGAAGGCUCUUGGGUCGUAAACCUCUUUUCUCAGGGAAGAAAAAAAUGACGGUACCUGAGGAAUAAGCAUCGGCUAACUCCGUGCCAGCGGCCGCGGUAAUACGGAGGAUGCAAGCGUUAUCCGGAAUGAUUGGGCGUAAAGCGUCCGCAGGUGGCUAUGUAAGUCUGCUGUUAAAGAGUCUAGCUCAACUAGAUAAAAGCAGUGGAAACUACAUGGCUAGAGUGCGUUCGGGGCAGAGGGAAUUCCUGGUGUAGCGGUGAAAUGCGUAGAGAUCAGGAAGAACACCGGUGGCGAAAGCGCUCUGCUAGGCCGCAACUGACACUGAGGGACGAAAGCUAGGGGAGCGAAUGGGAUUAGAUACCCCAGUAGUCCUAGCCGUAAACGAUGGAUACUAGGCGUGGCUUGUAUCGACCCGAGCCGUGCCGUAGCUAACGCGUUAAGUAUCCCGCCUGGGGAGUACGCACGCAAGUGUGAAACUCAAAGGAAUUGACGGGG
rnacentral:rRNA from 1 species